rnacentral:rRNA from 1 species
CGCAUCUGUGCAUGCAGCAUAUCAAUAAGCGGAGGAAAAGAAACUAACAAGGAUUCCCCUAGUAACGGCGAGUGAAGCGGGAAGAGCUCAAAUUUGAAAUCUUAAAGGGUUUCCCUUUACGAAUUGUAGCUUAAAGAAGUGUUUUCUGUUGAGGUUUUGGUAAAAGUUCUUUGGAAUAGGACAUCAUAGAGGGUGAGAAUCCCGUAUUUGACCUUUACUUUCAACUUUGUGAUACACUUUCAAAGAGUCGGAUUGUUUGGGAAUGCAGUCCAAAAUGGGUGGUAAAUUUCAUCUAAAGCUAAAUAUUGGCGAGAGACCGAUAGCGAACAAGUACCGUGAGGGAAAGAUGAAAAGAACUUUGAAAAGAGAGUUAAACAGUACGUGAAAUUGUCAAAAGGGAAGCGUUUGACACCAGUGUUGUUUUUCUGAAAAUCAAUUAAAGAACUGUUUAUGCUAAGCUGUUUAGACUUUAUCAGCUAACUGUUUAGUUUUGAGCUUUUCUUUAAUGCACUUUUCAGUUAACAAGUCAACAUCAAUUUCUUUUGCUGUAAAAAAGCUUGAGGAAGGUGGCUUGAGAUUCGUCUUAAGUGUUUAUAGCCUCUUGCCUAUGCAGUCGGAGAGAUUGAGGUCUGCAGCGUAGAUCCUUCGGGGCUAAAUGCAUUCGUGCUAAGUUAUAGCAUUUCAUAGACAACUUGUUGACUAUGAUUUGUCUUGUAGCUUACUCGCUUAUGUUAUUUUACCUACGCUUAGGAUGUUGACAGCAGUAUAGACUGU